AUAGCUCAGUGGUAGAGUGCUUGCUUAGUAUGCACAAAGCCCUGGGUUCAAUUCCCAGU
rnacentral:tRNA from 1 species